GCUAAACGCGAAGAACCUUACCUGGGUUUGACAUGUAGAGAAAAGCCAUAGAGAUAUGGUGUCCUUCGGGUUCGUACACAGUGGUGCAUGGUUGUCGUCAGCUCGUGUCGUGAGAUGUUGGUUAAGUCCGCACGAGCGCAACCCUCGUCCUAUGUUGCCAGCACGUCAUGGUGGGGACGUCGUAGGAGACUGCCGGGGUCAACUCGGAGGAAGGUGGGGACGACGUCAAAUCAUCAUGCCCCUUAUAUCCAGGGCUGCAAACAUGCUACAAUGGCCGGUACAAAGGGCUGCGAAACCGCGAGGUGGAGCGAAUCCCAUAAAGCCGGUCUCAGUUCGGAUUGGAGUCUGCAACUCGACUCCAUGAAGCUGGAGUUGCUAGUAAUCCCGGAUCAGCAACGCCGGGGUGAAUACGUUCCCGGGUCUUGUACACACCG
rnacentral:rRNA from 1 species